CUUGCUGGGUGGAUUAGUGGCGAACGGGUGAGUAACACGUGAGUAACCUGCCCUUGACUCUGGGAUAAGCGUUGGAAACGACGUCUAAUACCGGAUACGAGCUUCCACCGCAUGGUGAGUUGCUGGAAAGAAUUUUGGUCAAGGAUGGACUCGCGGCCUAUCAGCUUGUUGGUGAGGUAAUGGCUCACCAAGGCGACGACGGGUAGCCGGCCUGAGAGGGUGACCGGCCACACUGGGACUGAGACACGGCCCAGACUCCUACGGGAGGCAGCAGUGGGGAAUAUUGCACAAUGGGCGAAAGCCUGAUGCAGCAACGCCGCGUGAGGGACGACGGCCUUCGGGUUGUAAACCUCUUUUAGCAGGGAAGAAGCGAAAGUGACGGUACCUGCAGAAAAAGCACCGGCUAACUACGUGCCAGCAGCCGCGGUAAUACGUAGGGUGCAAGCGUUGUCCGGAAUUAUUGGGCGUAAAGAGCUCGUAGGCGGUUUGUCGCGUCUGCUGUGAAAUCCCGAGGCUCAACCUCGGGUCUGCAGUGGGUACGGGCAGACUAGAGUGCGGUAGGGGAGAUUGGAAUUCCUGGUGUAGCGGUGGAAUGCGCAGAUAUCAGGAGGAACACCGAUGGCGAAGGCAGAUCUCUGGGCCGCUACUGACGCUGAGGAGCGAAAGGGUGGGGAGCAAAC
rnacentral:rRNA from 1 species